AACGAACGCUGGCGGCGUGCCUAACACAUGCAAGUCGAGCGCGAAAAGGGCAACCUGAGUAGAGCGGCGCACGGGUGCGUAACACGUGGGUAAUCUGCCUUGAAGUCGAGGAUAACCUUCCGAAAGGUUGGCUAAUACUCGGUAAGCUUACGGUGACUUUGGUCGCUGUGAGAAAAAGUAGGCCUCUAUUUAUAAGCUUACGCUUCGAGAUGAGCCCGCGGCCCAUCAGCUAGUUGGCGGGGUAACGGCCCACCAAGGCAACGACGGGUAGCUGGUCUGAGAGGACGAUCAGCCACACUGGAACUGAGACACGGUCCAGACUCCUACGGGAGGCAGCAGUGGGGAAUUUUCCACAAUGGGCGAAAGCCUGAUGGAGCAACGCCGC
rnacentral:rRNA from 1 species